rnacentral:rRNA from 1 species
GUUCAGGAGUUCCGUUCGAUGGAGAUGGCUUUUCCCCAGUGUAGAUAGCUGGGGGAAUAAGGAGAGGGCAAGUUUGGUGUCAGCCGCCAAAGUAAUACCAGCUCUCCGAGUGGUGGGGACGUUUAUUGGGCCUGAAGCAUCCGUAGCCAGCUGAGCAAGUCCCCAGUUAAAUCCAGCGAUUUAAUCGUUGGACUGCUGGGGAUACUGUCCGGCUUGGGGGUGGGAGAGGCCGACGGUAUUCCCGGGGUAGGGGUGAAAUCCUAUAAUCCCGGGAGGACCACCAGUGGCGAAGGCUGUUGGCUAAAACAUGCCCGACGGUGAGGGAUGAAAGCUGGGGGAGCGAACCGGAUUAGAUACCCGGGUAGUCCCAGCUGUAAACGAUGCAGGCUAGGUGUUAGGGCGGCCACGUGCCGCUCUAGUGCCGCAGGGAAGCUGUUAAGCCUGCCGCCUGGGGAGUACGGCCGCAAGGCUGAAACUUAAAGGAAUUGGCGGGGGAGCAC